GGAACUUAGAAGUACUUAAUGUUCUAUAAGUAUAUCAGCCAUGUUUGAACACGAUGUUCAAACAAGCCGCCACUGAGCCAUGGAUGGCGAAUUGGCGGCGGUGGCGUGAAUAAUCAGUGAAGUGAAUUAGAACAUUUAGUACUUCUUAGUUGCA
rnacentral:ncRNA from 1 species